CAAAAAGUAGUUUAAUUAAAAUACCUGCUUUGGGAGUGGAUGAUUUGGGGUACCAACUUUUUGA
rnacentral:tRNA from 1 species